AGAGAUGUAACUCAGUGGUAGAGUGUUUGUCUCGUAUACCCAAGACCCUGGGUUCUAUUCCCAGCAUUACAA
rnacentral:tRNA from 1 species